rnacentral:rRNA from 1 species
AGAGUUUGAUCAUGGCUCAGGACGAACGCUGGCGGCGUGCCUAACACAUGCAAGUCGAACGGACUGAUUCCCUUCGGGGAUGAAAGUUAGUGGCGGACGGGUGAGUAACGCGUGAGUAACCUGCCUUUCAGAGGGGGAUAACGUUUGGAAACGAACGCUAAUACCGCAUAACAUAUCGGUACCGCAUGAUACUGAUAUCAAAGGAGCAAUCCGCUGAAAGAUGGACUCGCGUCUGAUUAGAUAGUUGGCGGGGUAACGGCCCACCAAGUCGACGAUCAGUAGCCGGACUGAGAGGUUGAACGGCCACAUUGGGACUGAGACACGGCCCAGACCCCUACGGGAGGCAGCAGUGAGGGAUAUUGCACAAUGGGCGCAAGCCUGAUGCAGCAACGCCGCGUGACGCACGACGGUUUUCGGAUUGUAAACUUCUGUUCUCAGUGAUGAUAAUGACAUUAGCUGAGGAGAAAGCCACGGCUAACUACGUGCCAGCAGCCGCGGUAAUACGUAGGUGGCAAGCGUUGUCCGGAUUUACUGGGUGUAAAGGGAGCGCAGGCGGGAGAGCAAGUCAGUGGUGAAAUGCAUGGGCUUAACCCAUGAACUGCCGUUGAAACUGUUUUUCUUGAGUGGAGUAGAGGCAAGCGGAAUUCCGAGUGUAGCGGUGAAAUGCGUAGAUAUUCCGGAGGAACACCAGUGGCGAAGGCGGCUUGCUGGGCUCUAACUGACGCUGAGGCUCGAAAGUGUGGGGAGCAAACAGGAUUAGAUACCCUGGUAGUCCACACUGUAAACGAUGAUUACUAGGKKKUGGGGGGGUCUGACCCCUUCCGUGCCGCAGUUAACGCAAUAAGUAAUCCACCUGGGGAGUACGACCGCAAGGUUGAAACUCAAAGGAAUUGACGGGGGCCCGCACAAGCAGUGGAUUAUGUGGUUUAAUUCGAAGCAACGCGAAGAACCUUACCAGGUCUUGACAUCGAGUGACCGGCUAAGAGAUUAGCCUUUCCUUCGGGACACAAAGACAGGUGGUGCAUGGUUGUCGUCAGCUCGUGUCGUGAGAUGUUGGGUUAAGUCCCGCAACGAGCGCAACCCCUGCCAUUAGUGGGUGCGCAAGAGCACUCUAAUGGGACCGCUACCGACAAGGUGGAGGAAGGUGGGGACGACGUCAAAUCAUCAUGCCCCUUAUGACCUGGGCUACACACGUAAUACAAUGGCCGUUAACAGAGGGAAGCAAUACCGCGAGGUGGAGCAAACCCCCAAAAACGGUCUCAGUUCGGAUUGCAGGCUGCAACUCGCCUGUAUGAAGUUGGAAUCGCUAGUAAUCGCAGAUCAGCCAAGCUGCGGUGAAUCCGUUCCCGGGCCUUGUACACACCGCCCGUCACACCACCCGAGCCGGGUGUACCCGAAGCCGGUGGCCUAACCGAAAGGGAGGAGCCGUCGAAGGUGUGUCUGGUGAGGGGGGUGAAGUCGUAACAAGGUAGCCGUA